ensembl:lncRNA
GUGGUUUAUUAUUUGUUACUGUGUGAAUAAGAGUUGAAAAAUACGUUUGUAACACUUACCUUGUUCGGCGGCACCAUUUCAAAGUGGUCCCAGACUUGAGAUCUCUUGCUGGUUGGUUCCAUGUGUGGCAGGGCGUGGCCUGCCCUCCGAACAGGUGCCAUAUGGAGGUAGUGCCUUAAUUGGUGGGUGGGGAGAAAAGGUUUAUAUAAGGCACUGCCUCCAGCUGACUUCAGUUGUUUUCCCUCUUCGACGGUCCGGCGGGGUUGCGGCUUAUCUGGGCGGUUCGACCAACAGAAACUGUUUCACAGCGCGAGCUGUCUGGCAGCGCCAAGAAGGUGCUGCGGGCCACGGCGGGGAUCCAACCCCUGGUGGAGGGCGUUUUCAUCACCCCCCCUCGUGUGUAGUUUUCUUUGCAGUAGCACGGGUGUUUGUAGUUUGUUUAUCUCCCCUAAUUGAGUUUUACCUGCCGGUGGGGCCCCAGCCCUGUCCACCCCUUUUGUUAAUUUAACUAUUAUACAGCAGAGUUAUAUUUUUUUGAGUAUUGGAUUAAAUAAAAUUGUAGUGCCUAACCCUCAAUCCUGUCUCUGCCUCUGGAAUAGAACCUUAUCUGCGCGUGCCUGUUUUCCGGUUAAUUCCUGGGGUGAAACUCCCCAGGUGGCGUUGUCGUCAACCGUUCCACCUCUCUCCACCAUGCCAGCAUCUACUGUACCCUGCAGAAGAAUAUUCUCCAAAUGUGGAGAAAUUGUGAGCAAAAAAACUGGUUAAAUCUCUAUACUGUGGAAAAAAUAACGUACCUCAAUAAAAACCGAGUCCACAAUUAUACAAGAAUACCCAAGCUAUGGCAUAUUUUACCAGCAUUUUCUCCUUAACAAAACAAAGCUCACGUGUGCGCCUCCCGGUCACCAAUAGCGGCUCCAACCCUGCAGUGCAGGGCUCGCGGGUCGCCAGGAGAGGGCGCUAGAACUGCAACUUCAGGUAAUCAUUACUUCGAGUAAUCAUUACAAGUGGUUCGGGAAUUCACAAAAGCUUAAUUUGCCCAUCAUUACUUUUUGUCCUGAUCGGAACCAGACAAAUCUACCGAUCAUCUUGUUGUUGUUGUUCUAUUUCUUUUGGUUUUAAAGGCAGUUGGCAUCUAUAUUGUAGCUGCCACCUUCUGGUCCUCUAUCUAGCGUAUCCAUCCUUCCAUCCUUUUUACUAGACCAGUACGUAAGAAAUUUAUAAAGCUCUUUCCUCCCACCUGAACUCUCUACCCAGCUCAUCCACAUCCACCAUUCCCAGUUUCCUCAGUCCAUCCAUCAUCUUCCUUUCCUCACUAUUAUGCCUACAUAUUAAAGCACAUGUUCUGUUGUCUCCAGUUCAUGACACUGCUCACAUAGAUGGAUGCUUCUCCACAAUGUAUAGCAUAUUGUCUAAGUUGCUCUGCCUAAUUCUUAACCUUGUUAUUAUAACCUGCUCUUUCCUGCUCUUUUCCCUUCUCCUUGAUGCAUUGUCCCUCCUUUUGUAUUGGAAAGAAGAUGCCUCCCCUUGACCUCUGUUUCCCCGCUCUGUUGCCACUGCUCAUUUGCUUUUACCCACACAACACUCUUGCCUUCUGACUUUGAUCUUUAAUUUCUCUGUCAACACUGCUCCUCUUCUCUGCUUCCUUUGCCAACCUCUCUGCCCUUUCAUUCCUCAAGAUCCCCAUGUGAGCUGGGGUCCACAGAAACACAACACAAAGCCCCUUCCCUGCACAUUUCCUCCACUCUCUGAUUAUAUUGAUUACUAAAUUUUGAUGAGCUUUUGAUGCUCCUGUUUUGAUGCUUGUUAAUGCUGAUACUGAAUCACUACAAGUUACUGCCUUCUGGAUGUUGUUCUGAUAAACCCACUGAACUGCCACAUGAAUUGCAACAAAUUCAGUAGCAAAUACACUAAUGUAAUCUGAUGUUCUUUUGCUAUACUCAAAGUUUCUAGAAAGUGCAGACACAGUUGCAUCUGUUUGUGUGUCCUAUAUAUGUAUAUAGACUUUAGCUAAUUGUCCAGGACGGCAAGAAUAUUUGUCAUCGAAGUUCUCGGCUUGUUCUCAACAGGUCAGUGUUGUAUCCAAAGCGGUGGGGAAGUGAAGGGUGUGUCAAAAAGAACAUGCACUUUGCCAGCAGAUGUUAAUGUUCAACAAAGUCUCAAAGUUUAGAAUAUAAACUUUAAGUGGGAAGGCAGAGGAAACAAAAGGGCGGACCUAAAAUCUGAGAAGUUCAAACUGGCAAAUAUAAUCUUACAUGGGAAUCAAUCAGGGAACAAAAACCCAAGAGGGCGAUUGUGGCAAAGGUGGGAGAUGAAAUUAAGUUGUUGCUGAAAACCCUAAUCUGGGGAGUUUUGCCCCAGGAAUAGUUCUGGUGAACCAGGUGUGUUAAAAAAAUGGUCCAAUGUUUCAGCUCACCAAAAGGCACGAGACAGUGUUUCAGAAUUUUAGGAAAACCUUUUUUAUGACCAUGUUUCGCAUUAAACUUCUCAGGGUUACCAAAAAUGGCCAGAAUAGAGGUGGCAGAGGCUGGUGUAGCAGCGCUUGAGGGGAGGGAAGUGAGAGGAAGUGGUGUUUUCAGUCUUCAGGGAGGCAAUCACCACGUUGAUGGGGGCAUGAACACGCUGUGACUGGAAGCAAUAUUAUCAAUCCCACUAUAGCAAUGCUAAAAUGCACAUCCACAGUGUAUCCAACGUGCACACACAGUUCUCUGCUGUACAACACAGUAAAACUGGUAUUUUGAAAUGGGGACCUGAUUUUGUUUUGAAGUCAACAGACACACAGGCAUCAUAGGAACAAAAACACACACUUGGAAGGUCUAAAGCACAUGAUGGGGACUUCAGGGAGACAAUUUGAACAAUUUGGUUUUCAUAUAGUGGCUCAGGCUAAU